UGACAGGUGGGGUGAACAGACUACAUGAUGCAGAUUUCCAUCUAAUGCUAUGUUGCUCUGCAGCUUGUGGAUUUAAAGAUGAAGAGUUUUCUACAUCCAUUCACAAAGCUACCUUCCCAAGAGCUGAGGGAGCCAGCCGGGAGUUCACCAUAAUGUAUUUCAAAAGAAAUGUGGAGAUAUGGAAUUAUUCAGAAUGCACCACAAUGCCAUCUUUUUAUACACUUCCUUCCCCAAGCAUGCAUCAUUUAUAUACCGUAAUUUACUUCAAUUGAAGAGGCUAAGGAUUACUGGUUCCUAACUAGUGAUGGGGCCCAGGAUAACUACUUUGGCACGUGAUAAAGCAGAAGAAGCAGAAAGACUCACUCUUCCCUUUCCCAGACUUUCUCUGGAGCAGCUCAUAAAUCCUAAGAAGGAUUGUCUAUCCUUCCUGGGAACAAGAGACGGUGACCCAUGCAAGGGAGAUGCCUUUUCCUUCCCCAGCGAAGAGACCAAGGGAUACAGGAAAGAAUCUGCAGGAAGAUGGUGUGCAAUGUUCUGCAGCUCUUACCGUUGGUCACUACUCUCUUCCUCUAAUGAUAGUUUCCCACGACCGUUCAUUCUUGUCAAAUCACCUAUAACUUAUGGACAUUUUUACUGUUUCUUCAGAUUUUUGUUUUCUUAUUAAGAUUCUUGUAUCACAAAAAGUAAGUAAAUAUGUGUACUUUUCUCUUGUUGAUCUAUUGUUAGUCUGGGUAACGAAAAGGAAUUUUUCAUAUUUUCAACUAAUUAUUUAUAAACAGUUUGUGCUCUGGGUGUAUUAGUUGCUUUUUCAAUAGUUAAAGACUGUGAAAAUAUAAAAUUCACACAAAGACAAGAAAAGAGCUGGGAAUAGUACAUUUAUAAAGUUUCUCUCAGCUAGCUUGAGUUCUUCAUUUAUUCAAGAAGCAGUGUACCUGGAUCCAUGUAGCCUUUAUUUGAACAUUUUAACUCCAUAUCCUUUGUAAAGUGUGCCUUGUAAAUAUCAUAAAUGCCGCUAACAGGAGGAAAAUCUGAAUGAAUAGUUCAGCAAGUGCCAACUUACAUGAUGACUGCAUUUUACCUUUGGAAAGAAAAACAGAGGCAAGGUCACUGCAAAAUGAUGGACACUUUCAAUACUCAGUCUACUUAGACUGCAGACCAAAUUCAUUAUACUUGAUUUACAAGUAUCAUGUACAAUAACUUAUAUUUGGAAAAUAUUGCCUACCAACCAGUCCAAAUAGACCUUUAAUCUGUGAACCUACAAUACAAUGCAGCACUGCAGUGAGCUAGCUGUGUUGUUUCAGAUUUUAGAUUAAUGGCCAAUCCCCUUGGAACAGAUGUUAAGUCCUCAUUUACACUCGUGUGCAUCUACUGCCCAUUUCCGGUGGAAUGGGGUUUGCUCUGAUCAAUAAAUGUAUCAGCCCAGUUGUUCAUCUUGUUAGCGAGGUCAAAGCAGUGACAGAGGUACAUCUGUUUUCAUGUCAAAUAAUGUCUGAGGUAAUGAAUCCUCUCCAGCUAGAUAAACAACAGCCCUGCAAUUGUCCUUCGGUCCCUCGCCACAGAGCUGAUCAUGAUUAAGCUGAGGCACUUGGGAAUUGAAAGUGUUGGCACUUUCUAAAGCAUUUUAAACCUGAACUUUUUGCUCCUCGAUAUGGUUAUUUCUGUGUCUUCAGUAGUGACCUUGCUGCAUAACAUGUAGCCAGGAGGCUGAUUUUUCUACAGUGUCAAUUUGCCUAUGUUGGAAAAUGUGCCCAACAAAGUUCCAAAUGAAAGCCUGAGAAAAUUGUUCCAAUUGCUUACGGUGUUCAUACACAAAUCUCUUUGAAAUAAUCAAAAUUUAUACCAAUGUAAUAAAUUCAUAAUGAAGAUAUAAUGCAUCUUAACAUACAUGCCUUAUCAGUGGUACUUGACAAAUGGCAUCUGCUAUUGUUCAUACCUGGGGGACUAAAUGAGGGGAACUACUACUUUACCAGAGGAUAAGGCACAAAAAGAUGUUUAGACAAAUCUGCAAAGUUCCUCUAAGUUAUUUUGAAGGGAAAAAUAUGAGGGUGGUGUCUUGUUUGCUUGAUGGAUAGGGCAGGUGGUUUCAGGGUGGAUUAAGUUAUUGCAUUUCAUCAAGCCUAUUUCCUAUAACAGAACUGGAUGUGAUAAAUAGAUUCAGUCCCUCUGAUUUGCAGUCACUUGCUGAAUUGCUAGCAUUCAUUUCCCUCCCACUCCGGCAUUGAUUGACCAUGUACUCCUGUCACUUGAAGCAAGUCACUUGAGCCUUGUCGUCACUGCUAUCUAGAUUGGUAAAAUAUAGAAAACAGCUCUUUACCAAACAAAUACCCUGGGGAUAAUGCAUUCUGCACGCCUUAGGACAAAGCCUAGACUUACAAAUGGGCUUUGUGAGCAGGGUACCCGGCAACCAGUGGAAGAAGUGGGCAGACUAUCAGUAUCUGAUCAAUGACAAAGAGGUAAGUGCAAUGAAGCAAUCUGUCCUCCUUCAUCCCAGGACUUGGGGACUUUAUGAUCAAACAAAUUUUCAACACUGUUGGAGGGCAUGGUUGCUGACUGACUUUUUCAACUAAGACUUCACUAACUGACAAUACCUGUGUUAUUUCAUAUAGAAAAGGACA